UACAGAGGUCUCAAGCGUUGUUCGGAUUCAUUGGGCGUAAAGGGUGCGUAGGUGGCGCGGUAAGUCGGGUGUGAAAUUUCGGAGCUUAACUCCGAAACUGCAUUCGAUACUGCCGUGCUUGAGGACUGGAGAGGAGACUGGAAUUUACGGUGUAGCAGUGAAAUGCGUAGAUAUCAAGAGGAACACCUGAGGUGAAGACGGGUUGCUGGGCUGACACUGACGCUGAGGCGCGAAAGCCAGGGGAGCAAACGGG
rnacentral:rRNA from 1 species